CUUACCUUAGUUUAUGUCUAGAAUGCGGGUUUUGGGGACCUUUGGUCUUUUUAAGAGGUUUGA
rnacentral:tRNA from 1 species